rnacentral:rRNA from 1 species
AUUGAACGCUGGCGGCAUGCCUUACACAUGCAAGUCGAACGGCAGCACGGGAGCAAUCCUGGUGGCGAGUGGCGAACGGGUGAGUAAUAUAUCGGAACGUGCCCAGUCGUGGGGGAUAACGCAGCGAAAGCUGUGCUAAUACCGCAUACGAUCUAUGGAUGAAAGCGGGGGACCGCAAGGCCUCGCGCGAUUGGAGCGGCCGAUAUCAGAUUAGCUAGUUGGUGGGGUAAAGGCCCACCAAGGCGACGGUCGGUAGCUGGUCUGAGAGGACGACAAGCCACAAUGGAACGGAGAGACGGUCCAGACUCCUACGGGAGGCAGCAGUGGGGAAUUUUGGACAAUGGGCGCAAGCCUGAUCCAGCAAUGCCGCGUGCAGGAUGAAGGCCUUCGGGUUGUAAACUGCUUUUGUACGGAACGAAACGGUGAGCUUUAAUACAGUUUGCUAAUGACGGUACCGUAAGAAUAAGCACCGGCUAACCACGUGCCAGCCGCCGCAGUAAUAC